CACGUAGGGGGCAAGCGUUGUCCGGAUUUAUUGGGCGUAAAGAGCGUGUAGGCGGCUUGGUAGGUCUCGCGUCAAAACCUGAGGCUCAACCUCAGUUCGCGUGGGAAACCACCUAGCUAGAGUCCGGAAGAGGAGAACGGAAUUCCCAGUGUAGCGGUGAAAUGCGCAGAUAUUGGGAAGAACACCAGUGGCGAAGGCGGUUCUCUGGGACGGUACUGACGCUGAGACGCGAAAGCGUGGGGAGCGAACAGG
rnacentral:rRNA from 1 species